CGGUCUGAAAAUAUAUAUUAAGAGCCUAGUAUGUGCCUAGAAACCACCUCAAGAGUAGCUUCUACUUCGUUGUUGGUAAUAUUACUUUCAAAGUAAGAGAGUGAACAAAUAGCAUUUCCAAUAGCUUUUCUCAAUGGCUCGUUUUACUCUACUCUUCGUAUUAAGUGAUUGAGGCCAUUUAUAGAUCAACCAAAUUCAAAUUAUAGAAACACGUCAAAUCUUCUUCCUGAAGGGAAAAAAGGGAGUUAAAAAAACCAUUUUGAUUUGUUCUGAAAAUGUCAUUCCAUAUCUUUCCUGAAAGUCUAGACAAAAUUGUCUCCUACAUUGUGAACAAAGACAACUUCAGCUUGUGAGAGCUCUCUCUCUCUUAAACAUGUCAAGUGCAGGCUCUUGGAAUGUGGAAAGCAUAUUUUGAAGUUGAAAAAUGACUUACUUUUGCUCAGCAUGUAUUUUCUCUUUAAUCUGGGAAAGCGCGGACACACUGCUUUUCCUUUACCUCAUUCUGUUGUUUAUUUCAGCUGGCCUUGAAGAGGUUGAAUCCUGAAACCCAGUGUUCCAGUAAUUUCAAAGUCUACAACACUUAAAAUUGAGAUGGUGCCAAUAAAUCUUGGGCCAUUUCUAUUGAUUCUUUUUCAGCAAAGCUACUCAAUCAAAAGUGGCUCCUCAGUGGCUGGUACAUUGCCACGCAGAGAAAAUCCACGGAAGGUCCCACUGUUGUACUCCGUAACCACUCAGUACCUGGUAGACGUUAUCAUCGCUGUCGUCAGAUUGCCGGCCCCUCAUGAAGCUCGUGGUACGUACCGAGUGCUUGACGAACAGGGUCUUAUUGUGAUAGAUGUCAGGCCCAUCUCCUUCACUCACCUUGGUCAGCUGCUUCACGCAGGGACAUUGAGUGGCCCAAAUGAAGCUUAGGUUUGAGGUCUCCAGGCUAUUUUUGACAGCAUGUUUCCCAAUUCCAGUAAAUUCCCUAUUACUCACAUUUCUUGAAAUACUUAAAAAGAUUUCUCUAUGAUCUCAAGAGUGUUUCCCUAGGGGUAGUCCAGUUUAUAACCAGCAACAUUUCUUCUUUCCCACUAAUGAAAGAGUAAGACCAGCUGUGGGAGGACCCG
rnacentral:lncRNA from 1 species